UAAUACGGAGGGUGCGAGCGUUAAUCGGAAUUACUGGGCGUAAAGCGCACGUAGGCGGUCUGGUAAGUCGGAUGUGAAAGCCCCGGGCUUAACCUGGGAAUUGCAUUCGAUACUGCCUGACUGGAGUAUGGGAGAGGGAAGCGGAAUUUCCGGUGUAGCGGUGAAAUGCGUAGAUAUCGGAAGGAACAUCAAUGGCGAAGGCAGCUUCCUGGCCCAAUACUGACGCUGAGGUGCGAAAGCGUGGGGAUCAAACAGG
rnacentral:rRNA from 1 species